CCUCCAUUCAGAACAAUGACCCAGCUGUGUGUGUGGCCCUUUUCUCUUUGGAGUCAUACAACACAUGGAAGCUCUGCUAACAGGGAACCAGAAGAAGAUGUGAAAACGCUGAAGAGGAAGGCAGCUCAGACAAAGAAAAAAGAAAAGUGAAUCUAAGUCAAGUAAGGUAUGGAUAAUUGCUCUGCCCUAUUUACUGAGAAACUCCCUCUCCUUUCACCACUGGAGGGCAAUCCCUAGCUUCAGAGUUCAGAGUGGGUGUACUGGUCUUUAUCCUUGACACUUCAAGUUGUGCUGCUCACGGAAAACGUGGCUUGGAAUGGUGAAAUACCCCUGCACUCAUCCAUCAGCUAUUCAGUCAUUCAUCUCUCCUUAUUGCAUCUCUAGCAGUUGCAGUCCAGCAUACCCACAUCAUAACAGAUUACCUCGCCUUGAGGGUUUCAGUGCUUUAGGAACAUAACCCCCGUGAAUUUCAGGGGUCGAUGCUAUGCUGAUUUUAGAGCAACAUACUAGGCUAGGCAGCGCCUGUACCACCUACGACAACUGAGGAAGUUCAGGGUCUCUCCAGAGAUCCUCAGGAUUUUCUAUACAGGCGCUGUGGAGAGCAUCCUCACACAGAACAUCACAUCCCGGUUUGGGAACAGCUGUGUUAAGGACCAAAAAGCUCUUCAGAGAGUGAUCCGUACAGCAGAACGCUGCUGCAGGAUUGCUCUCCCCCCACUUCAGGACACCUACACCAGGAGAUGCCGGACUAGAGCAGCGCAGAUACUGAAGGACCCGUCCCAUCCUGGCAACAAACUGUUCCAACUUAUGCAAUUCCGGUAGAAGGUUCUGCAUCAUCCGGACAGAGAGACUCAAGAGGAGCUUCUUUCCCCAAGCCAUCCGGGCCCUAAACCAACCCUAACUUGCAUAUUUCAGCAAGACAAUGUUAAACUGCAUACUGCAUCUGUUACAACAGCAUGGCUUCAUAGCAUAUGAAUCUGGGUGCUGACCUGGGCUGCAGGCAGUUCAGACCUUUCACCAACUGACAACAUUUGGCUCAUCAGGAAACAUGAUGAGAAGAAUAGGACAACAUUCCUCUCAAAAAAUCCAGAAACUGGUCUCCUUCAGUUCCCAGACAUUUGUUGAUAGCUGCUAAAAGAAGAGAGGAUGUCACACGGUGGUAAACAUGGCCCUGCCCCAACUGUUUUUUAAAGCUGUUAGUGCCUCAGAAGGCGCUACUAUUUUCCCUAAAAUGGUGAAUUUUCUCAGCUAAAACUUUUAAUUUGUUUUCUCUAUU